GGCUGUAGUUUUUUUUUGUUUGUUUGUUUUUUUAAGAUGCUCUUUACUAAAUUCUGGUAGAUAGUCCCUAUUGAUAUCUUGCUGAGAUGUUCUUUUUUUUUUUAAAGGAAAGGUUGAAUUUUUUAAAAUACUUUUUCUGUGUCAGUUGUUCGGAUCAUAUGUGGUUUUCUUCUUUAUCACGGUAAUGAGGAGGAAAGCUGGUAAAAAUAAAUAAAAAGGGCCAGGCAGAUGUCUGAGGCUGGAUACUCCCCUUGCAUGCUUUUGGCUUCUGAGAUCUUGCUUUCCUCUUAUAUCAGCCAGCAACCAGAAGCUUGACUGUACUAGUCCCACCCAACCCAGAAGCACAUAUGUAUAAAAGAUCAGUAUACCCCAGCUGGAUGCUCAGCCUUUGGAGGUGACUCCUCUGGACCGGCACCGGUGCAAAAUAAACAGUCUUCUCUGGUUCCCCGAGUGUAUGUCGCUUGUUUCUUCCUGGACACUACGUAUUUGCUGUAACAUUUUUGGUGCAUUGGCCAGGAUGCUGAUGGCUGCACUGGCACCUUGAGCCACUGUUGUUGGAGGCCAGCAGAGAGUCCACUUAUUGAGGGCCCCUGUGACAGAAAAAAAGGCAUGCCACUGGUGAUUUCGCUGAACCCCGACCCUUGCCGACCCAACAAUAGUUGGCCACUGCUGUGCUCAGAUUCUAGAGGGAAUCAGAAAAUUCUGCCAGGAUGGAACAUCAGAUUGGAAGGUGGAUUGCUUCCUGCUGGCCUGAUCUGUGGACAUUGCUGUGCUUCCCGUGGAGUCACAUGGAGUCACGCAGCGCUUAGUUCUCCCACCAGUGAUGUGUGAAAAACAUGUGCAUGUUUCUUGCAGAAGAUCCCAUCCCCAUCUCCACCGUGGCCAAUUACGCCAAACAGUUCAGAGAGAGUGCCUGCUCUCCUUGCCUUCGGUGACCCGAAAUCCUUUGUUUUACCUUUUUGGAAUCCUAAUUCCAUUAAUGUAGUUGAAAUAUUUUUCCUGACCUGCUGUUUGCUGUUUUUCAGCAGGCUGAUUACCUCCUCCAACGUAAACUGUCAACUUCCCAGGUUUCCCCAUCAGUGAUAUGUGAAUACUUGUGCACUUUUCAGUACAGGUCCUCUACUCCCAGCAUCAUGGGCCACUUAAACCAAAAAUGUUCACAAAGCAUGCCUCUUCUCCUUGGCUUUGCUAAUCCAUAUUCUUUGCUUUACUUAUAUGGAAUCGUAAUUCCAUUAAUAUAGUGGAAAUAUCUCUCCCGAAUCUGCUUUUGUUCUCCUUAGUAGUCGAAUUCAUUGCUCCUGGCCUGAUUGGUGUUCUUUCCAGGGCUUCCAGGGGAACCCCAUAUAUUAUGCUUAAUAGUUUCCCCACCAGUGAUAUGAGAAUACUUGUGCACUUUUCUGUGCAAGUCGUCUAAUCCCCACCUUCACUGUGGCCACCACAACCAGAGUUUUCAGAAAGAGCACUCAUGAAUGUUAGCUUUGCUGACCCACACAUUUUCUGUUUAAAUAUUUGGAAUCCCGUAGUUGAAAUAUCUCAUGUGAAACUCCUGAUUUGUCUUCUUCCAGCAGGCUGAUACAUGCUCCAAUCAGAUCUGUGGACUUAAAAGUGCAUCCAGCGGAGUCGCAUAGAUGGUGCUUGAUAGAUUUCCAACCAGUUAUGUGUGAUUAUGUGUGUACAUUUUGGUUAAUGUCAUUUCAUCCCGAGCGAUGCUGAGGUUGCUUACAUGAAAGUAUUCAGAAAGCAUGUCUUCUUUCAUUAGUUUUGGUAAUCGAUGAUCUCUUGUUUCAUUUUUUAAAAACUAACUCAAUGAAUAUUGUUGAAAUAUCUCUCC
ensembl:lncRNA